rnacentral:tRNA from 1 species
GGGGGUGUGGUUCAGUGUUAAAGAACUUGCUUAGUGUGUACAAGGCCCUGGGUUUAAUCCCCAGCAACACCA